UACGGAGGGUGCGAGCGUUGUCCGGAAUCACUGGGCGUAAAGGGCGCGUAGGUGGCACGGGUAGUCGUCGGUGAAAGCUCAGGGCUCAACCCUGAGUCGGCCGGUGAUACUCCCGAGCUCGAGUGUGGUAGAGGCCAAUGGAAUUCCGGGUGUAGCGGUGGAAUGCGUAGAGAUCCGGAAGAACACCGGUGGCGAAGGCGGCCUGCUGGGCUAUGGCUGACACUGAGGCGCGACAGCGUGGGGAGCAAACAGG
rnacentral:rRNA from 1 species